rnacentral:rRNA from 1 species
AUAUUCGGAACAUCUUCUUCAGAAGAUGCGGAAUAACGUGACAUAUUGUAUUCAGUUUUGAAUGUUUAUUUAACAUUCAAAUAUUUUUUGGUUAAAGUGAUAUUCCUUUUGAAAAUAAAGCAGUAUGCGAGCGCUUGACUAAAAAGAAAUUGUACAUUGAAAACUAGAUAAGUAAGUAAAAUAUAGAUUUUACCAAGCAAAACCGAGUGAAUAAAGAGUUUUAAAUAAGCUUGAAUUCAUAAGAAAUAAUCGCUAGUGUUCGAAAGAACACUCACAAGAUUAAGAGCAUGUGGUUUAAUUCGAAGCAACGCGAAGAACCUUACCAAAUCUUGACAUCCUUUGACAACUCUAGAGAUAGAGCCUUCCCCUUCGGGGGACAAAGUGACAGGUGGUGCAUGGUUGUCGUCAGCUCGUGUCGUGAGAUGUUGGGUUAAGUCCCGCAACGAGCGCAACCCUUAAGCUUAGUUGCCAUCAUUAAGUUGGGCACUCUAAGUUGACUGCCGGUGACAAACCGGAGGAAGGUGGGGAUGACGUCAAAUCAUCAUGCCCCUUAUGAUUUGGGCUACACACGUGCUACAAUGGACAAUACAAAGGGCAGCGAAACCGCGAGGUCAAGCAAAUCCCAUAAAGUUGUUCUCAGUUCGGAUUGUAGUCUGCAACUCGACUACAUGAAGCUGGAAUCGCUAGUAAUCGUAGAUCAGCAUGCUACGGUGAAUACGUUCCCGGGUCUUGUACACACCGCCCGUCACACCACGAGAGUUUGUAACACCCGAAGCCGGUGGAGUAACCUUUUAGGAGCUAGCCGUCGAAGGUGGGACAAAUGAUUGGGGUGAAGUCGUAACAAGGUAGCCGUAUCGGAAGGUGCGGCUG